UAAGGUGGAUAUGUUAAUUAGCAUAUUCAUUUUGACGUUUAGCUGACAGAAGAAGCUACCGGCUAACUCCGUGCCAGCAGCCGCGGUAAUACGGAGGGUGCGUAGCGUUUAAUCGGAAGUUUACUGGGCGUAAAGCGUCAUGCAGGUGGUUUGUUAAGUCAGAUGUGAAAGCCCGGGGCUCAACCUCGGAAUUGCAUUUUGAAACUGGCAAACUAGAGUACUGUAGAGGGGGUAGAAUUUCAGGUGUAGCGGUGAAAUGCGUAGAGAUCUGAAGGAAUACCGGUGGCGAAGGCGGCCCCCCUGGACAGAUACUGACACUCAGAUGCGAAAGCGUGGGGAGCAAACAAGGAUUAGUAUACCCCUCGGUAG
rnacentral:rRNA from 1 species